rnacentral:rRNA from 1 species
GAGUUUGAUCCUGGCUCAGGAUGAACGCUGGCGGCGUGCCUAAUACAUGCAAGUCGAGCGAACGGACGAGAAGCUUGCUUCUCUGAUGUUAGCGGCGGACGGGUGAGUAACACGUGGAUAACCUACCUAUAAGACUGGGAUAACUUCGGGAAACCGGAGCUAAUACCGGAUAAUAUUUUGAACCGCAUGGUUCAAAAGUGAAAGACGGUCUUGCUGUCACUUAUAGAUGGAUCCGCGCUGCAUUAGCUAGUUGGUAAGGUUAACGGCUUACCAAGGCAACGAUGCAUAGCCGACCUGAGAGGGUGAUCGGCCACACUGGAACUGAGACACGGUCCAGACUCCUACGGGAGGCAGCAGUAGGGAAUCUUCCGCAAUGGGCGAAAGCCUGACGGAGCAACGCCGCGUGAGUGAUGAAGGUCUUCGGAUCGUAAAACUCUGUUAUUAGGGAAGAACAUAUGUGUAAGUAACUGUGCACAUCUUGACGGUACCUAAUCAGAAAGCCACGGCUAACUACGUGCCAGCAGCCGCGGUAAUACGUAGGUGGCAAGCGUUAUCCGGAAUUAUUGGGCGUAAAGCGCGCGUAGGCGGUUUUUUAAGUCUGAUGUGAAAGCCCACGGCUCAACCGUGGAGGGUCAUUGGAAACUGGAAAACUUGAGUGCAGAAGAGGAAAGUGGAAUUCCAUGUGUAGCGGUGAAAUGCGCAGAGAUAUGGAGGAACACCAGUGGCGAAGGCGACUUUCUGGUCUGUAACUGACGCUGAUGUGCGAAAGCGUGGGGAUCAAACAGGAUUAGAUACCCUGGUAGUCCACGCCGUAAACGAUGAGUGCUAAGUGUUAGGGGGUUUCCGCCCCUUAGUGCUGCAGCUAACGCAUUAAGCACUCCGCCUGGGGAGUACGACCGCAAGGUUGAAACUCAAAGGAAUUUGACGGGGACCCGCACAAGCGGUGGAGCAUGUGGUUUAAUUCGAAGCAACGCGAAGAACCUUACCAAAUCUUGACAUCCUUUGACAACUCUAGAGAUAGAGCCUUCCCCUUCGGGGGACAAAGUGACAGGUGGUGCAUGGUUGUCGUCAGCUCGUGUCGUGAGAUGUUGGGUUAAGUCCCGCAACGAGCGCAACCCUUAAGCUUAGUUGCCAUCAUUAAGUUGGGCACUCUAAGUUGACUGCCGGUGACAAACCGGAGGAAGGUGGGGAUGACGUCAAAUCAUCAUGCCCCUUAUGAUUUGGGCUACACACGUGCUACAAUGGACAAUACAAAGGGCAGCGAAACCGCGAGGUCAAGCAAAUCCCAUAAAGUUGUUCUCAGUUCGGAUUGUAGUCUGCAACUCGACUACAUGAAGCUGGAAUCGCUAGUAAUCGUAGAUCAGCAUGCUACGGUGAAUACGUUCCCGGGUCUUGUGCACACAGCCCGUCACACCACGAGAGUUUGUAACACCCGAAGCCGGUGGAGUAACCUUUUAGGAGCUAGCCGUCGAAGGUGGGACAAAUGAUUGGGGUGAAGUCGUAACAAGGUAGCCGUAUCGGAAGGUGCGGCUGGAUCACC